rnacentral:rRNA from 1 species
GAUGAACGCUGGCGGCGUGCCUAAUACAUGCAAGUCGAGCGAACGGACGAGAAGCUUGCUUCUCUGAUGUUAGCGGCGGACGGGUGAGUAACACGUGGAUAACCUACCUAUAAGACUGGGAUAACUUCGGGAAACCGGAGCUAAUACCGGAUAAUAUUUUGAACCGCAUGGUUCAAAAGUGAAAGACAGUCUUGCUGUCACUUAUAGAUGGAUCCGCGCUGCAUUAGCUAGUUGGUAAGGUAACGGCUUACCAAGGCAACGAUGCAUAGCCGACCUGAGAGGGUGAUCGGCCACACUGGAACUGAGACACGGUCCAGACUCCUACGGGAGGCAGCAGUAGGGAAUCUUCCGCAAUGGGCGAAAGCCUGACGGAGCAACGCCGCGUGAGUGAUGAAGGUCUUCGGAUCGUAAAACUCUGUUAUUAGGGAAGAACAUAUGUGUAAGUAACUGCGCACAUCUUGACGGUACCUAAUCAGAAAGCCACGGCUAACUACGUG